rnacentral:rRNA from 1 species
GAUGAACGCUGGCGGCGUGCCUAAUACAUGCAAGUCGAGCGAACGGACGAGACGCUUGCUUCUCUGCUGUUAGCGGCGGCCGGGUGAGUCAUACGUGGAUCCCCGACCUAUAAGACUGGGAUAACUUCGGGAAACCGGAGCUAAUACCGGCUACUAUUCUGAACCGCCUGGUUCUAAAGUGCAAAACGGUCUUGCUGUCACUUAUAGCUGGCUCCGCGCGGCAUUAGCUAGUUGGUAAGGUAACGGCUUACCAAGGCAACGAUGCAUAGCCGACCUGAGAGGGUGAUCAGCCACACUGGAACUGAGACACGGGCCAGACUCCUACGGGAGGCAGCAGUAGGGAAUCUUGCGCAAUGGGCGAAAGCCUGACGGAGCAACGCCGCGUGAGUGAUGAAGGUCUUCGGAUCGUAAAACUCUGUUAUUAGGGAGGAACAGAUGUGUAAGAAGAUGUGCACAUCUUGACGGUACCUACUGAAAAAGCCACGGCUAACUACGUG